UUAGCUGGUCUGAGAGGAUGACCAGCCACACUGGAACUGAGACACGGUCCAGACUCCUACGGGAGGCAGCAGUGGGGAAUAUUGGACAAUGGGGGCAACCCUGAUCCAGCAAUGCCGCGUGUGUGAAGAAGGCCUGAGGGUUGUAAAGCACUUUCAGUGGGGAGGAGGUUUGCCAGGUUAAGAGCUAGGUAAWUGGACGUUACCCACAGAAGAAGCACCGGCUAACUCCGUGCCAGCAGCCGCGGUAAUACGGAGGGUGCGAGCGUUAAUCGGAAUUACUGGGCGUAAAGGGUGCGUAGGUGGUUAAUUAAGUUAUCUGUGAAAUCCCCGGGCUCAACCUGGGCAGGUCAGAUAAUACUGGUUAACUCGAGUAUGG
rnacentral:rRNA from 1 species